rnacentral:lncRNA from 1 species
CAUCUUGGGCCCACAGUAACAGCACCAGUCUGCUUAUUCACACCUACCAGCUUUGUAUAUCAUCUCAUGGCAAAUCAGCUGAUUUCAUCAAGUUGUCAUCUCAGCUUAUACCAAUGCCCAGUAAUGUUUUUGCAUGCAUAAAAUAUACCUGAGUAAAGUGAUGUUCAUUGGUGAUUGGAGAUACCAGAGAAAAACAAUGCAAAAUCCCUAGUCCAGCCCAAUCUGAGACCAGAGGAGCCUCAGGCUCUUUCAGAAGCCAUCAUGUCACAGAGCAAUCAUACAAAGGAAACACAACCAGAAAGAGCAACAUCAAAACACAGUUCACAGGAAUUACUAGGAACACCUCAGAAGAGAACUACAAAUGACUUGGAAAUUGUGGCUUUACAGAGUGAUGAGAAUAAUAACUUCAAGUGUCCAAUUUGCUUAGAUACACUAAGGAACACCAGGAUUACAAAGUCCUGUUUCCACCGAUUUUGUAAGGACUGCAUCAUCACAGCUCUUAGGUUAGGAAACAAGGAAUGCCCUGUCUGCAGGAGAAAACUAAUUUCAAAAAGGUCAUUAGAUCCAGACCCUCAAUUGGAUGAACUAAUCAGCAAAAUGUUUCCAGUUUGUAAGGAAAAGAAUUCUUCUAGAAAGAAACAAUUAGGCAAAAGGAAAUAUAAAACCCAACCAGCUUGUAGUCUUAUUAUCAAAAGAGGACAGGAGAUAAUGACCACAAACAGUGUCCAACACAGAGAAGAGCAGCCAAUUAGAACUACUAGUGGAUUGGAAAGUAAUAAUGACAGUUUACCCUCCUGCAGUAAUACAUCCACACAUAGCAGUGACCAAGCAGGUCCCAGUAACAAAAGAGCCAAAACAUCUGAGUUUGAACAUGAUAGCAAGCAUGCAAUAGUGACCUAUGAUUCUGUGACUGAUGGCACUAGUGAACUUGAGACCAGAGGAGAAGAUGACCCUGCAUAUACAGAAUUACCAAAGACCUCAGGUGGAAAUGCAAAACAAGACAUUUGAAAGCCAGUUUAGAACUUGUGUGAUUAUUUGCCAUCCUAAGCAACAUGUAACCAGCAUCUGCUUCCUGUACCACCAUCCUGGAUAACUUGGUAACCAUGUUUUCCUCGUGAUGGUUGACUACAUAGUGAGAACUCUGAAAGGAAAUAAAUGCAUUCAACCUCA